GGGUUGUGAGGUUAAGCGACUAAGCGUACACGGUGGAUGCCCUGGCAGUCAGAGGCGAUGAAGGACGUGCUAAUCUGCGAUAAGCGUCGGUAAGGUGAUAUGAACCGUUAUAACCGGCGAUUUCCGAAUGGGGAAACCCAGUGUGUUUCGACACACUAUCAUUAACUGAAUCCAUAGGUUAAUGAGGCGAACCGGGGGAACUGAAACAUCUAAGUACCCCGAGGAAAAGAAAUCAACCGAGAUUCCCCCAGUAGCGGCGAGCGAACGGGGAGCAGCCCAGAGCCUGAAUCAGUGUGUGUGUUAGUGGAAGCGUCUGGAAAGGCGCGCGAUACAGGGUGACAGCCCCGUACACAAAAAUGCACAUAUUGUGAGCUCGAUGAGUAGGGCGGGACACGUGGUAUCCUGUCUGAAUAUGGGGGGACCAUCCUCCAAGGCUAAAUACUCCUGACUGACCGAUAGUGAACCAGUACCGUGAGGGAAAGGCGAAAAGAACCCCGGCGAGGGGAGUGAAAAAGAACCUGAAACCGUGUACGUACAAGCAGUGGGAGCCUCUUUUAUGGGGUGACUGCGUACCUUUUGUAUAAUGGGUCAGCGACUUAUAUUCUGUAGCAAGGUUAACCGAAUAGGGGAGCCGAAGGGAAACCGAGUCUUAACUGGGCGUUAAGUUGCAGGGUAUAGACCCGAAACCCGGUGAUCUAGCCAUGGGCAGGUUGAAGGUUGGGUAACACUAACUGGAGGACCGAACCGACUAAUGUUGAAAAAUUAGCGGAUGACUUGUGGCUGGGGGUGAAAGGCCAAUCAAACCGGGAGAUAGCUGGUUCUCCCCGAAAGCUAUUUAGGUAGCGCCUCGUGAAUUCAUCUCCGGGGGUAGAGCACUGUUUCGGCAAGGGGGUCAUCCCGACUUACCAACCCGAUGCAAACUGCGAAUACCGGAGAAUGUUAUCACGGGAGACACACGGCGGGUGCUAACGUCCGUCGUGAAGAGGGAAACAACCCAGACCGCCAGCUAAGGUCCCAAAGUCAUGGUUAAGUGGGAAACGAUGUGGGAAGGCCCAGACAGCCAGGAUGUUGGCUUAGAAGCAGCCAUCAUUUAAAGAAAGCGUAAUAGCUCACUGGUCGAGUCGGCCUGCGCGGAAGAUGUAACGGGGCUAAACCAUGCACCGAAGCUGCGGCAGCGACGCUGAUGCGUUGUUGGGUAGGGGAGCGUUCUGUAAGCCUGUGAAGGUGUGCUGUGAGGCAUGCUGGAGGUAUCAGAAGUGCGAAUGCUGACAUAAGUAACGAUAAAGCGGGUGAAAAGCCCGCUCGCCGGAAGACCAAGGGUUCCUGUCCAACGUUAAUCGGGGCAGGGUGAGUCGACCCCUAAGGCGAGGCCGAAAGGCGUAGUCGAUGGGAAACAGGUUAAUAUUCCUGUACUUGGUGUUACUGCGAAGGGGGACGGAGAAGGCUAUGUUGGCCGGGCGACGGUUGUCCCGGUUUAAGCGUGUAGGCUGGUUUUCCAGGCAAAUCCGGAAAAUCAAGGCUGAGGCGUGAUGACGAGGCACUACGGUGCUGAAGCAACAAAUGCCCUGCUUCCAGGAAAAGCCUCUAAGCAUCAGGUAACAUCAAAUCGUACCCCAAACCGACACAGGUGGUCAGGUAGAGAAUACCAAGGCGCUUGAGAGAACUCGGGUGAAGGAACUAGGCAAAAUGGUGCCGUAACUUCGGGAGAAGGCACGCUGAUACGUAGGUGAAGUCCCUCGCGGAUGGAGCUGAAAUCAGUCGAAGAUACCAGCUGGCUGCAACUGUUUAUUAAAAACACAGCACUGUGCAAACACGAAAGUGGACGUAUACGGUGUGACGCCUGCCCGGUGCCGGAAGGUUAAUUGAUGGGGUCAGCGCAAGCGAAGCUCUUGAUCGAAGCCCCGGUAAACGGCGGCCGUAACUAUAACGGUCCUAAGGUAGCGAAAUUCCUUGUCGGGUAAGUUCCGACCUGCACGAAUGGCGUAAUGAUGGCCAGGCUGUCUCCACCCGAGACUCAGUGAAAUUGAACUCGCUGUGAAGAUGCAGUGUACCCGCGGCAAGACGGAAAGACCCCGUGAACCUUUACUAUAGCUUGACACUGAACAUUGAGCCUUGAUGUGUAGGAUAGGUGGGAGGCUUGGAAGUGUGGACGCCAGUCUGCAUGGAGCCGACCUUGAAAUACCACCCUUUAAUGUUUGAUGUUCUAACGUUGACCCGUAAUCCGGGUUGCGGACAGUGUCUGGUGGGUAGUUUGACUGGGGCGGUCUCCUCCUAAAGAGUAACGGAGGAGCACGAAGGUUGGCUAAUCCUGGUCGGACAUCAGGAGGUUAGUGCAAUGGCAUAAGCCAGCUUGACUGCGAGCGUGACGGCGCGAGCAGGUGCGAAAGCAGGUCAUAGUGAUCCGGUGGUUCUGAAUGGAAGGGCCAUCGCUCAACGGAUAAAAGGUACUCCGGGGAUAACAGGCUGAUACCGCCCAAGAGUUCAUAUCGACGGCGGUGUUUGGCACCUCGAUGUCGGCUCAUCACAUCCUGGGGCUGAAGUAGGUCCCAAGGGUAUGGCUGUUCGCCAUUUAAAGUGGUACGCGAGCUGGGUUUAGAACGUCGUGAGACAGUUCGGUCCCUAUCUGCCGUGGGCGCUGGAGAACUGAGGGGGGCUGCUCCUAGUACGAGAGGACCGGAGUGGACGCAUCACUGGUGUUCGGGUUGUCAUGCCAAUGGCACUGCCCGGUAGCUAAAUGCGGAAGAGAUAAGUGCUGAAAGCAUCUAAGCACGAAACUUGCCCCGAGAUGAGUUCUCCCUGACCCUUUAAGGGUCCUGAAGGAACGUUGAAGACGACGACGUUGAUAGGCCGGGUGUGUAAGCGCAGCGAUGCGUUGAGCUAACCGGUACUAAUGAACCGUGAGGCUUAACCUUACAACGCCGAAG
rnacentral:rRNA from 1 species